UCGAGGAUCUUCGGCAAUGGGCGCAAGCCUGACCGAGCGACGCCGCGUGCGCGAUGAAGGCCUUCGGGUUGUAAAGCGCUGUCGAGGGGGAGGAAAGCCCGCAAGGGUCUGACCUAUCCCUGGAGGAAGCACGGGCUAAGUUCGUGCCAGCAGCCGCGGUAAGACGAACCGUGCGAACGUUGUUCGGAAUCACUGGGCUUAAAGGGCGCGUAGGCGGGUGACCAAGUCAGGGGUGAAAUCUUUCGGCCCAACCGGAAAAGUGCCUCUGAUACUGGUCGUCUCGAGGGAGGUAGGGGUCGAGGGAACUGGUGGUGGAGCGGUGAAAUGCGUAGAUAUCACUAGGAACGCCGGUGGCGAAAGCGCUCGACUGGACCUCUUCUGACGCUGAGGCGCGAAAGCCAGGGGAGCAAACGGGAUUAGAUACCCCCGUAGUCC
rnacentral:rRNA from 1 species